rnacentral:tRNA from 1 species
UGUAGCUCAGUGGUAGAGCAGCAUGUACUCAUGAUAUGCAAGGCCUGGGUUCAACCCCCAGUA